UACGUAGGGUGCAAGCGUUGUCCGGAAUUAUUGGGCGUAAAGAGCUCGUAGGCGGUCUGUUGCGUCGGCUGUGAAAACCCGGGGCUCAACUCCGGGCCUGCAGCCGAUACGGGCAGACUAGAGUUCGGCAGGGGAGACUGGAAUUCCGUGGUGUAGCGGUGAAAUGCGCAGAUAUCAGGAGGAACACCGGUGGCGAAGGCGGGUCUCUGGGCCGAUACGUGACGCUGAGGAGCGAAGGCGUGGGGAGCGAACGGG
rnacentral:rRNA from 1 species